ACUCUAAUGCCAGAUUAUGGGGCUUAUUGAUGUUAAGUGAAUGCUUUUAGCUUAGAGUG
rnacentral:tRNA from 1 species